ensembl:lncRNA
UCCGGGUUGUUGGCGCUGAGGGAGUACGCUGUGGCAGUCAGGGUCUGGAGCAUCACCGCCUUCGUGCAGGAGGAGCCUCCGAAUGCAGCCAGGAGCCGGCAGGGAUGGGCACAAACUACAGCAGAGGCUCAGGGAGGAAAAAGGCAAAGAGAAAAGGAAUGAAGUCGCACUGGGCAGCUUGAACGGUCACUGUGGGGCGAGCUGCUGGGUCCUCUGCACGUAUGCAGUGCAGCAGAGCUGGUGAGGCCAUGCGUGCAAAGGAAGAGGACAUCCAUUCAGCUCAGUGUGAGCUGCAGGGCAGAGCACCGCGUGGACACCUGAAGCUGCCGUGGAAGGAAGGAAGGGCAGGAGCUGGUGGGGCUGCUGGGACAGCAGUGUGCGAGCCGUGCCCAGGGCUGACGUUGGGGUGGAAGAGUUGCAGUGCAUGGGGUGGGCUGCUCUGCGGCUCCGGUGGGUGCACCCCUGGGCUCAGCCCCACACACACAGCAGCAAUUGUGGCUUCCUCGCUGUUGGGCAGUGAACGGGGCCUGAAUAUUGUUGUGCUUUUCAAUAGAGAGUGCUUUCGGUUUGAAAUGACCUUGGUUGUGGCUGGUUGGAUAAUUUGCUGUGAAUAAGGUUCUGCGCAAAGUUUGGCGUUUCCUAUUUUGUUGCAUAAUAAUUAGUGAUUGGAUUUUUCCAGUAUUUAUCCUAUGCUAAUCUCGGUAGGAGCCUGAAAUACCGGCAGUGGGCUGACAUGAGCCAGCAUCCAUGUAAAGUGGGGCAUUAAUUGCUUUCUACGGGCCAGGAAGAUAGAUCCAUAGAAUCCUUGGCACUGGAAGAGACCCUUAAAGGCCAUCUGGCCCAACUCCCUGCAAUGAAUAGAGACACCCAGAGCUCCAUCAGAGGCACUCGGUCUGCUCCACCAACCAACCCCGUGAGCUUUCUGCAAACAUGCACUGCUCCGCAAACCAACUUAUUCCCACAGCGUUCCGUGCCAUCAUUGUAGGAUCGUGGUUUUGGUAAUGAGAUGAGGAUGAGCAGUCCUUGGUGCUUACAUCCAGCAUUUACAGAACCAGAACGAUGCAAUUCCUGGCCUGAAAGAAAGAAGACAACAGAAUCAUUUAACAUAAUAAUAACAGAAGUCGUUUGCUAGAAGUGCCAUGUGGAUUCAGAGCAUCUAUUUGCAAAGAAAUUUGCCUCUCCGGGCGCAUCUGGAAUCGCACUGAUUACCAAUGCAAAACUUGACGUGGAGCAACAGAGCGGAUGGGCACAGCCAGGUCCUGCACUGCGAUAGGGUAUGCCUAAUUAAACUGUCUGGGACGAGGUUUGAAAGAAGCCACAAAAAAAAGCCUACUGGAAACCAACGUGAUCGUGUCUGUACAGGGAGUUGCAGCAGUGUUGAAGCCAAUGCAAAUUUGUGCUCAGACGAAUCCUGCGGGGAGGGAACGGCUGCGUGUGCCGUGGCCUUGCAGAGGUUCACACUCCUGCUUGCAGCACACCCUGCCUGUUGCAGGAAAGUUAUUUCCUAGCAUUUGCAGGAACUUUGUAUUUUUUAGGGGUAAUAUGAUUUCUUCGAAGGGUAGGAAUUGGUUCCGAUAGCAACCAUAACUUCUAAUCCUUUCUCUGUGGUGGGCUGGCUGACACAAAGCUGAGCCUGUUGGUCUCUGUAUGUGGUCAGGCUGUUGUGAAGCACGAAUGGAGCUCUGAGUCCUCUGCGGCUCUGAGCCCAGUAAUGCAAAGGGAUGGCUCCAAAUAGCCAAAGGAAUGGGGUGGGAAAGAUGUUGGGGCAUCUCCAGUGCAGCAUCUUCAGUGGGGCAUCUCCAGUUGGGUAUAACCAAUGGUGCAUCUCCACUGGGGCAUCUCCAGUUGGGUAUCUCCAAUGAGAUGUUUCCAACGGGGCAUCUCCAGUGGGACAUCUCAUGAGACAUCUCCCUGGAGCUGUGCUGGGAGGUGUGCUGGUGCCAUCCAGCAAGCGCAGUCACAAAUGCCAAGCAGGACAAUAGGGCUGCAGCAGCACAGUGAGCUGGGCAGCCUUGAAGGAGGGCUCAUCCCACACAGGGUCAGGGGACCAGAUCUGGCCAGCUCCUGCAGCCUGGGCCCAGGGGAGUGCAGGCAGCUCUGCUGUAAACGUUAUUGUAUAUUUAUAAACAGGGCCAGACUGAAGGGAUGACAUGGCUCUAUUUACCCCAGUGGCAUGUAAAAGUAAACAGCCCAACGAGCUGAUCAUUAACUCGCCUCCCCUGCUUUGCUUUCGUGCCUCCUUAUAUGAAUAGAAACAUUCCUGUCUGUUUUUGUUUGCCCUAUCUCUGUGAGGACUGCUGUAAGAGUCCUGAACUCGGAAUGGGCUGUCAUAUGCUCAUGGGUCAAAACAAUGCUGGCUGCCUUAUGUCUGCACCCCCCUAAAUCCUGC